rnacentral:rRNA from 1 species
ACACAUGCAAGUCGAACGGUGAAGGGACCAGCUUGCUGGUUCUGGAUGAGUGGCGAACGGGUGAGUAACACGUGAGUAACCUGCCCCCUUCUUCUGGAUAACCGCAUGAAAGUGUGGCUAAUACGGGAUAUUCUGGGUCUGUCGCAUGACGGGCCCGGGAAAGAUAUUGCUUCGGUGGGGGAUGGGCUCGCGGCCUAUCAGCUUGUUGGUGGGGUGAUGGCCUACCAAGGCGGUGACGGGUAGCCGGCCUGAGAGGGUGGACGGUCACACUGGGACUGAGACACGGCCCAGACUCCUACGGGAGGCAGCAGUGGGGAAUAUUGCACAAUGGGCGCAAGCCUGAUGCAGCGACGCCGCGUGAGGGAUGGAGGCCUUCGGGUUGUAAACCUCUUUCGCCAGUGAAGCAGGCCUGCUCCUUGUGGGUGGGUUGACGGUAGCUGGAUAAGAAGCGCCGGCUAACUACGUGCCAGCAGCCGCGGUAAUACGUAGGGCGCGAGCGUUGUCCGGAAUUAUUGGGCGUAAAGAGCUCGUAGGCGGCUGGUCGCGUCUGUCGUGAAAUCCUCUGGCUUAACUGGGGGCUUGCGGUGGGUACGGGCCGGCUUGAGUGCGGUAGGGGAGACUGGAACUCCUGGUGUAGCGGUGGAAUGCGCAGAUAUCAGGAAGAACACCGGUGGCGA